ACCUCUUUCGGGAGGGGAUUAGUGGCGAACGGGUGAGUAACACGUGGGCAAUCUGCCCUGCACUCUGGGACAAGCCCUGGAAACGGGGUCUAAUACCGGAUAUGACCACCGGCCGCAUGGUCUGGUGGUGGAAAGCUCCGGCGGUGCAGGAUGAGCCCGCGGCCUAUCAGCUUGUUGGUGGGGUGAUGGCCUACCAAGGCGACGACGGGUAGCCGGCCUGAGAGGGCGACCGGCCACACUGGGACUGAGACACGGCCCAGACUCCUACGGGAGGCAGCAGUGGGGAAUAUUGCACAAUGGGCGCAAGCCUGAUGCAGCGACGCCGCGUGAGGGAUGACGGCCUUCGGGUUGUAAACCUCUUUCAGCAGGGAAGAAGCGCAAGUGACGGUACCUGCAGAAGAAGCACCGGCUAACUACGUGCCAGCAGCCGCGGUAAUACGUAGGGUGCGAGCGUUGUCCGGAAUUAUUGGGCGUAAAGAGCUCGUAGGCGGCUUGUCGCGUCGGAUGUGAAAGCCCGGGGCUUAACCCCGGGUCUGCAUUCGAUACGGGCAGGCUGGAGUUCGGCAGGGGAGAU
rnacentral:rRNA from 2 species